rnacentral:rRNA from 1 species
ACUCAAAUGAAUAGACGGGGGCUCACACAAGCGGUGGAUGAUGUGGCUCAAUUCGAAGCAACGCGAAGAACCUUACCCGGGUUUGACAUGCUAGGAUUAGUUCUGUGAAAGCAGAAUGACACGGCUUGCCGUGGAACUAGCACAGGUGCUGCAUGGCUGUCGUCAGCUCGUGCUGUGAAGUGUCGGGUUAAGUCCCUUAACGAGCGAAACCCUUGUCGCUAGUUGCCAGCGCGUAAUGGCGGGCACUUUAGCGAGACUGCCGGUGUUAAACCGGAGGAAGGCGGGGACGACGUCAAGUCCUCAUGGCCUUUAUGCCCGGGGUUGCACACGUCAUACAAUGGGAUGGUACAAAGCGACGCAAGACCGCGAGGUGGAGCAAAUCGCAGAAAACAUCCCUCAGUUCGGAUUGCAGGCUGCAACUCGCCUGCAUGAAGCUGGAAUCGCUAGUAAUCGCAUAUCAGCAAUGAUGCGGUGAAUGUGUUCCUGAGCCUUGUACACACCGCCCGU